CCCGGGUCUUGUACACACCGCCCGUCACACCAUGGGAGCGGGAUGUACCAGAAGUAGGUAGGCUAACCGCAAGGGGGCCGCUUACCACGGUGCGUUUCGUGACUGGGGU
rnacentral:rRNA from 1 species